rnacentral:rRNA from 1 species
AGAGUUUGAUCAUGGCUCAGGAUGAACGCUAGCUACAGGCUUAACACAUGCAAGUCGAGGGGCAGCAGGGAGGAUGCUUGCAUUCUCCGCUGGCGACCGGCGCACGGGUGCGUAACGCGUAUCGAACCUGCCUCAUACUCGGGAACAGCCUUGCGAAAGUAAGAUUAAUGCCCGAUGUUCUGUGAGUCCCGCAUGAGACUUACAGCAAAGAAAUUCGGUAUGAGAUGGCGAUGCGUCCCAUUAGCUAGUUGGCGGGGUAACGGCCCACCAAGGCAUCGAUGGGUAGGGGUUCUGAGAGGAAGGUCCCCCACAUUGGAACUGAGACACGGUCCAAACUCCUACGGGAGGCAGCAGUGAGGAAUAUUGGUCAAUGGACGGAAGUCUGAACCAGCCAAGUAGCGUGCAGGAUGACGGCCCUCCGGGUUGUAAACUGCUUUUAGUUGGGAAUAAAGUGCGGUACGUGUACCGUUUUGUAUGUACCAUCAGAAAAAGGACCGGCUAAUUCCGUGCCAGCAGCCGCGGUAAUACGGAAGGUCCAGGCGUUAUCCGGAUUUAUUGGGUUUAAAGGGAGCGCAGGCGGACUUUUAAGUCAGUUGUGAAAUACGGCGGCUCAACCGUCGGACUGCAGUUGAUACUGGAAGUCUUGAGUUCGCACAGAGAUGCUGGAAUUCAUGGUGUAGCGGUGAAAUGCUCGGAUAUCAUGAAGAACUCCGAUCGCGAAGGCAGGCAUCUGGGGCGUUACUGACGCUGAGGCUCGAAAGUGCGGGUAUCAAACAGGAUUAGAUACCCUGGUAGUCCGCACAGUAAACGAUGGACACUCGCAGCCGGC